rnacentral:rRNA from 1 species
AUUGAACGCUGGCGGCAGGCCUAACACAUGCAAGUCGAGCGGAUGAAGGGAGCUUGCUCCUGGAUUCAGCGGCGGACGGGUGAGUAAUGCCUAGGAACCUGCCUGGUAGUGGGGGAUAACGUCCGGAAACGGGCGCUAAUACCGCAUACGUCCUGAGGGAGAAAGAGGGGGAUCUUCGGACCUCACGCUAUCAGAUGAGCCUAGGUCGGAUUAGCUAGUUGGUGGGGUAAAGGCCUACCAAGGCGACGAUCCGUAACUGGUCUGAGAGGAUGAUCAGUCACACUGGAACUGAGACACGGUCCAGACUCCUACGGGAGGCAGCAGUGGGGAAUAUUGGACAAUGGGCGAAAGCCUGAUCCAGCCAUGCCGCGUGUGGGAAGAAGGUCUUCGGAUUUUAGAGCUCUUUAAGUUGGGAGGAAGGGCAGUAAGUUAAUACCUUGCUGUUUUGACGUUACCAACAGAAUAAGCACCGGCUAACUUCGUG